rnacentral:tRNA from 11 species
GCCUGGCUGGCGUAAUGGUUAACGCGUCUGACUGUCAAUCAGAAGAUUGCCGGUUCGAGUCCGGCGUCGGGCU